UACGGAGGGGGCUAGCGUUGUUCGGAAUUACUGGGCGUAAAGCGCACGUAGGCGGCUUUGUAAGUUAGAGGUGAAAGCCCAGGGCUUAACCCUGGAAUUGCCUUUAAGACUGCAUCGCUAGAGUUGUGGAGAGGUAAGUGGAAUUCCGAGUGUAGAGGUGAAAUUCGUAGAUAUUCGGAAGAACACCAGUGGCGAAGGCGACUUACUGGACACAUAUUGACGCUGAGGUGCGAAAGCGUGGGGAGCAAACAGG
rnacentral:rRNA from 1 species